GCUACGCACUUACGAGCUCGGCUCGACUCUCCCACCCUUUGUGAACGUACCUCUGUUGCUUUGGCGGCUCCGGCCGCCAAAGGACCUUCAAACUCCAGUCAGUAAACGCAGACGUCUGAUAAACAAGUUAAUAAACUAAAACUUUCAACAACGGAUCUCUUGGUUCUGGCAUCGAUGAAGAACGCAGCGAAAUGCGAUAAGUAAUGUGAAUUGCAGAAUUCAGUGAAUCAUCGAAUCUUUGAACGCACAUUGCGCCCCUUGGUAUUCCGGGGGGCAUGCCUGUUCGAGCGUCAUUACAACCCUCAAGCUCUGCUUGGAAUUGGGCACCGUCCUCACUGCGGACGCGCCUCAAAGACCUCGGCGGUGGCUGUUCAGCCCUCAAGCGUAGUAGAAUACACCUCGCUUUGGAGCGGUUGGCGUCGCCCGCCGGACGAACCUUCUGAACUUUUCUCAAGGUUGACCUCGGAUCAGGUAGGGAUACCCGCUGAACUUAAGCAUAUCAAAAGGCGGAGGAA
rnacentral:rRNA from 1 species